GCCGGUGUGGCUCAGGGGUAGAGCAAUUCACUCGUAAUGAAUAGGUCGGGGGUUCGAUUCCCCCCACCGGCUCCA
rnacentral:tRNA from 1 species